GACGAACGCUGGCGGCGUGCUUAACACAUGCAAGUCGAACGGAAAGGCCCUGCCUUUGUGGGGUGCUCGAGUGGCGAACGGGUGAGUAACACGUGAGUAACCUGCCCUUGACUUUGGGAUAACUUCAGGAAACUGGGGCUAAUACCGGAUAGGAGCUCCUGCUGCAUGGUGGGGGUUGGAAAGUUUCGGCGGUUGGGGAUGGACUCGCGGCUUAUCAGCUUGUUGGUGGGGUAGUGGCUUACCAAGGCUUUGAUGGGUAGCCGGCCUGAGAGGGUGACCGGCCACAUUGGGACUGAGAUACGGCCCAGACUCCUACGGGAGGCAGCAGUGGGGAAUAUUGCACAAUGGGCGGAAGCCUGAUGCAGCAACGCCGCGUGCGGGAUGACGGCCUUCGGGUUGUAAACCGCUUUCGCCUGUGACGAAGCGUGAGUGACGGUAAUGGGUAAAGAAGCACCGGCUAACUACGU
rnacentral:rRNA from 1 species